CGUAGGAUGACCAGAAGACCAGUUGAAGACACUUGAUGAUGGAUGAGGAGCUCAGAGUGGUCCAGUAGAUAUCAUUGUGGCAGAUGGAAACACACUGUCUAAAGCUAAGUGUCUCUACAUUGUUGGUGCAGUUGCAGUAUACCUUAAGCUAAUACUAGAUGAAAAGGACUCGGGCUGGUGCAUGUUUGUGUUUGUGUGUGUGUGUGUGUGUGUGUGUGGAGUAUUCCAGAGUUUGGUAGGGACUAUGACGUCUGCGUUGAUGACACCUACACUGAGUGAAGAACAGCCUCCACUUCUGUCACCAGUGGCUUUGAUGAAGAUCAUAAUUCAGAUGGCAUCGACUCUAUGAGGAGCACACAUGGACUAGGACCUGCCCUGGAUGAGGACGACCCUGGAGGACUAGCGUGGAUGAUGUCUAAAGAACCUUAUGGAAAAGAAGACACAAAAAAAGAAAAAAAAAAAAAAAAAGAAGUGGGCGAGGUGCAUCAGGUGGCGCUAUAACUAAUACUGAAUAUGGGCAUGUAGAUCUGUUCAGAUUAGGAGUCGUAUCAAACGUGAAGUUUGGAGCAGAUUGGACAUUGUAUGUCUGAGUUAUAGCAACUUCCUUUUUCAUGGCGAAGCAUUGAAGUUUGUCAAAGUCCCAUGGACGUGUCCUUCAACGAAAACUGAAGAUCUUCACAAUUUCUCUCCACUGCUUCUCUUUCUCUCCCCAUCCCGAGACACCCUGAGGUUUGGCCAGCUCCAGUCACAUCCCACCUCAUGAAGAUUAUGGACCUUGAAGAAGUAGAUGCCGA